AGAGUUUGAUCAUGGCUCAGGACGAACGCUGGCGGCGUGCUUAACACAUGCAAGUCACGGGGGCCCGCAAGNNNNACCGGCGAACGGGUGCGUAACACGUGACCAACCUGCCCUUGUGUGGGGGAUAGCCGGGCUAACGCCCGGGUAAUACCGCAUACGAUCCUUUGGGGGAGUCCCUGGGGGAAGAAAGCUCUGGCGCACGAGGAGGGGGUCGCGGCCUAUCAGCUAGUUGGCGAGGUAAUGGCUCACCAAGGCGACGACGGGUAGCUGGUCUGAGAGGAUGGCCAGCCACAUUGGGACUGAGAAACGGCCCAGACUCCUACGGGAGGCAGCAGUGGGGAAUCUUGCGCAAUGGCCGAAAGGCUGACGCAGCGACGCCGCGUGUGGGAGGACGCCUUUCGGGGUGUAAACCACUGUUGCCCGGGACGAACAGCAUCUUUUCGAGAUGCCUGACGGUACCGGGUGAGGAAGCACCGGCUAACUCCGUGCCAGCAGCCGCGGUAAUACGGAGGGUGCGAGCGUUGUCCGGAAUCAUUGGGCGUAAAGGGCGCGUAGGUGGCCCGGUCAGUUCGUGGUGAAAGCGCGGGGCUCAACUCCGCGUCGGCCAUGAAUACUGCUGGGCUUGAGCACUGUAGAGGCAGGCGGAAUUCCGGGUGUAGCGGUGGAAUGCGUAGAGAUCCGGAAGAACACCGGUGGCGAAGGCGCUGCUGGGCAGUGGCUGACACUGAGNNNCGACAGCGUGGGGAGCGAACAGGAUUAGAUACCCUAGUAGUCC
rnacentral:rRNA from 1 species